rnacentral:rRNA from 1 species
GUCUACGGCCAUGCUACCCUGAACAAGCCCAAUCUUGUCUGAUCUCGGAUGCUAAGCAGGGUCUGGCCUGGUUAGUACUUGGAUGGGAGACCACCUAGGAAGACCAGGUGCUGUAAGCG